rnacentral:rRNA from 1 species
AGGUUAAGUGAAUAAGGGCGCACGGUGGAUGCCUUGGCACUAGGAGCCGAUGAAGGACGGGACUAACACCGAUAUGCUUUGGGGAGCUGUACGUAAGCUAUGAUCCAGAGAUUUCCGAAUGGGGGAACCCAGCAUCUUUAAUAGGAUGUUACGAUUGUGUGAAUACAUAGCACAUUCGAGGUAGACGCAGAGAACUGAAACAUCUAAGUACCUGCAGGAAGAGAAAGAAAAUUCGAUUCCCUGAGUAGCGGCGAGCGAAACGGGAAAAGCCCAAACCAACAAGCUUGCUUGUUGGGGUUGUAGGACUCCAAUAUGGUCGUUCUUUCAGAUAGUCGAAUGACUUGGAAAAGUCAGUCAAAGAGGGUAAAAACCCCGUAGACGAAAUGUGGAAGACACCUAGGAGGAUCCUGAGUACGGCGGAACACGAGAAAUUCCGUCGGAAUCCGGGAGGACCAUCUCCCAAGGCUAAAUACUCCCUAGUGACCGAUAGUGAACCAGUACCGUGAGGGAAAGGUGAAAAGCACCCCGGAAGGGGAGUGAAAUAGAACCUGAAACCGUGUGCCUACAACAAGUCAAAGCCCGUUAAUGGGUGAUGGCGUGCCUUUUGUAGAAUGAACCGGCGAGUUACGAUUGCAUGCGAGGUUAAGUUGAAGAGACGGAGCCGCAGCGAAAGCGAGUCUGAAUAGGGCGUUUGAGUAUGUAGUCGUAGACCCGAAACCAUGUGAUCUACCCAUGUCCAGGUUGAAGGUGCGGUAAAACGCACUGGAGGACCGAACCCACGUACGUUGAAAAGUGCGGGGAUGAGGUGUGGGUAGCGGAGAAAUUCCAAACGAACUUGGAGAUAGCUGGUUCUCUCCGAAAUAGCUUUAGGGCUAGCCUCGGAAUUGAGAAUGAUGGAGGUAGAGCACUGUUUGGACUAGGGGCCCAUCUCGGGUUACCGAAUUCAGAUAAACUCCGAAUGCCAUUCAUUCAUAUCCGGGAGUCAGACUGUGAGUGAUAAGAUCCAUAGUCGAAAGGGAAACAGCCCAGACCACCAGCUAAGGUCCCAAAAUAUAUGUUAAGUGGAAAAGGAUGUGGGGUUGCACAGACAACUAGGAUGUUGGCUUAGAAGCAGCCACCAUUUAAAGAGUGCGUAAUAGCUCACUAGUCGAGUGACCCUGCGCCGAAAAUGUACCGGGGCUAAACAUAUUACCGAAGCUGUGGAGUACACCUUUAGGUGUAUUGGUAGGAGAGCGUUCUAAGGGCGUCGAAGGCAGAUCGUGAGGACUGCUGGAGCGCUUAGAAGUGAGAAUGCCGGUAUGAGUAGCGAAAGACAGGUGAGAAUCCUGUCCACCGAAUGACUAAGGUUUCCUGGGGAAGGCUCGUCCGCCCAGGGUUAGUCGGGACCUAAGCCGAGGCCGAUAGGCGUAGGCGAUGGAUAACAGGUUGAUAUUCCUGUACCCGUUGUUUUUGUUUGAGCAAUGGAGGGACGCAGGAGGCUAAGGAAUGCAGACGAUCGGAAAUGUC